rnacentral:lncRNA from 1 species
GGUGGUAUGCAUGUUAAUGAAUUGAAUUAAGUCAAACUUGAUGAACCAGGCUCACGGUGAUUUAAGAGUUUCUUCAACAAAUUGAAACUUUGAUGUUCUCUAUUUUCAGUUUAGGAUAUCUAUAAUGCUAGAGAGCUUGUACUUGUUACAUUAAGUCAAACUUGAUGAACCAGGCUCACGGUGAUUUAAGAGUUUCUUCAACAAAUAGAAACUUUAAAGGGUAAUUAUAUUCACACCACAAUUUGUAUUUUUUGUGCCACAUUUUAGGGGUUGUUUGAGCCCCAUUUUUCUCAAAAAAUGCAUUUUGAAAUAAUGUUAUGAUGGAGAAUGUGUGGUUAAAAAUAAGUAGAAGUUUUGGAUUUGCGUAUAAUAUUAUUUUAUUGAAAAAUGUGUCAAUGAAAUAGUGUCAAAUCACUGUUGAAGGUCUUAAUUGCAUUUUUAAGGUUCUUAAUCUUUGCUCAUUAUAAUAAUUAUGCCCUAACACCUUGUUAUAUUUUUUGAGAAUUGAUUUUUUAACCUUUAGAGAGAAAGGUGAGUCCUAUCGGUGAGAGGAAAAUAAAAAAUGACAGUUGAAAUAGUGAAAUAACGGUCAAAAUUUUGAUUUUUUGGGGAGAAAAAUCAAUAUCAAACAUGCACUUAAUUUUUUGUCAAAUAUAAUUUGUGAUAACAUAUUAUAGUUAGACAAUAGGUCACAUCCAAUAGAUUACUGGUCACAAUAGAUCACAAUUAACACACUUGGUCACAAAAGGUCAUAGUCAACAUAUUAAUGGGUUAUAAACUUUUAAAAAUGAAUUGCAAUGAAUAAUUUUUGGCUAAUUAAUUUGAUAAUUUGCAAUGAAUAAAUGAGUUGUGAUCAACAGAAAUUUUGAUUUUUUGAGCGAUGUAUAGUCUGUGACCUAUAAAAAUUUUGAUUCUUGACCGAUACAUAAUCUGUGAUCCAUAAAUUUUUUUAUUUGUGACUGAGUUAAGGUCAAGGUUCACUAGUCACAGGUUUGAGUUCACAGACUAGAUGUUGCCGAAGAAGCUGCUGAGUUGCCGCCAAAAAUUGCGGGAACAAUAGAGAAACUGGAUUUUGUUUCUCUCUUCUUUUAGCUUUUUAAUAUUUUUUGAGAAUUUUUCCACUGUUUUCUGGUGGAAUCCUCUACCGGUGGAAACUAAACAGUUGCUACUCUGAAAGUAAUGUUGGGUUUCAUUGGUAUUUUUAGAAGAAUAAAUAUAUAUGUACAAACUAUGGUUGACAAAAUCUUUCACUCUCUCUCACAUAUUGUGUGGACCCCGCAUGUAUUUAAAAAAUGGCGGUUUGUAGUCCCCACCCCUAUUGUGAGUAGUGAGUAAAAGAUUGUGUAAAAAAAGUUUGUACAUGUAGCAUUCUAUUUAUAGAAAGAGAGAGUGCAGAUCUAGGGUUCAUAUUUUUUCUCUCACAUAUUUUUUUAAUAAAAUAAUAUUAAGCAUAAAAUUAAAACUUUCUUUUUUUAUUCACACUUUCUUUAAAAAAAAAAAAAAAACAACUAUUUCAAAAUAUAUUUUUUCUUAAAGCCCAUUAAAGACUAAGCCCUUGUUUAAGCCCCAUUAUUUUGAAAAAAAAAAAAAAAAAAUUGCAUUUUUCAAUAGUAUUUUAACAUCAGUUCAACCACACAUUUUUCAAUAAAAUAAUAUUACACGUAAAUUCAAAACUUUUCUUAUUUUUUAACCACACAUUUCUCAUCAAUACACUAUUCAAAAAUUCAUUCUUUCUCUUGACAUGGGGCUUAAACAAGGGCUAAAUAAACAAAUUACUUAUUUAUGUUCAUAUUUGUCUCUCUUUAAAACAAUUUUUUUUUUUUAAUGUUCAUACUCAUUUUUAACCACAAAUUCACAUAAUAAAAUAUUUUAUAAGUAAAUUCAAAAAAAUUUCUAUUUUUUAAUCAAACAUUCUAAAAAAAAAAUCACAAUUCAAAAAAACUUUUUUUCCUAAUAUUGACCCUCAAAUAAGGACUUUACAUUCUAGUACUUUCUUUUACAGGCCAAACACUUACUAAUAUGAACUAGACGUCGUAACGUGCGUUACAAGAGUUUUGUAAUUUUUGUUUAGGGAUGGGUAAGUAGUAUAUAUGAUACUAAAACUAUAUAUUUAUUUUUCAACUGCUAAUUGGGCUUGCAUAAUUGUAUAAAAAAUUGAAAACAAAGUAAAAAUUUGAAGUUUUUUAAAAAAAUAGAAAAAAAAUAGUACCUAGCAUAGCGUUGAAAAUGCAUUAUAGUGAUUAUUAGGUAUAUACUAGAAAUACCUCGGGAUUGGAAAGAAGAGUAUAAGGAGUGAUAUUGCAUAAGAAGUGUGAGAAAAAACCGACCACUAGAGAAUGAGAUUACUAUUAAGUCAAUAAUACUUGUUGGUUGUGUUCUAAUAUAGGUAUAAGUUCAAUUAUUGGCUAAUUGCGUGCGCACGCGCACACACUGAGACACUCUAGUCGAGCAUCGGAUAAGUAAAGAUUUAUUUUUGAUGUUGUUUGGAUAUUUCUAAAGUGUUAUUUAAAUUUGA